GCGGUGGCUCGCUCUCCUCCUACUCUGCCCACGGCUCCUGGAAGACGGGAGAAGUGAAGACCGCUCCGUGGUGAGCCUGCGGGAGACCUCCGAGGUGACGCUGCGGUGCCCGCACCUCAGCCCUGGGGACGCCCCCCGCCCGCCGCCGUUAACGCCUCGGAACCCGCGGCUGCCUCCAGCAUUCUCAGCAAUAGGACCAGACGUGAAGAUGAGUCCUGGAACCUCCAUGUCUCAAUUCACAGCCCUUGUCUUUGCUCCCAACCAACAUUGCAGCUAUUCUGGGAGCAGCCUGAGUACCCCUAAUGACUGAAGGUUUAUCUUCAGGGAACCCUGUCAUGUUGUCACCUUUACUAGGGAUAUCAAUGUUACCAGGAGGUGUCUUCUUUGGUGUGGGUGCAGCUGGGCCUCUGAACAACAAACAUGUCAAAUAAUAGGAGGUCCUGUACAGCCUCUGCCAAAUGUGAACAUCCUCACUCAUGGGCACUCUGGCACCUGACAAUUGACAACACAUGCUAUGAGCACAAUCACAACUCUUUCUGUUCCUGUGGCUACACAGAGCAACUAGAGGACCUGGGUGCAGAGACUUCCCCUCCAAACUCACCUUUAUUUAUGGAAAAGAUGGCCUGACCAACUUUGAAGCCAACAUACCUGAAAACAAUUCAUACAACCUGGAAGCGUCUAUGAGAAUUUCUGAAACUGGCAGAGGAACAAGGUCUUGGUCCUCCUGCAGACUUCUGAUAUGGAAACAAUCUCCUGCUUCCUCAUUUGAUUGGAUCCCAUGGCUGGAAGCUCCUUCUAGGUCUUGAAACAAUGACCAAGUGAUAUGGACAAGGAAGGUCCUGAGAUUGAUGGGAUCUCUCUUUGUACCCUUGCUUAGUGGAAGCUGAAUAUGAAGGAGGAGGAAAGCUUGCAGAGGGAUUUGUGGGAAUGGAAGCUCGCAAACACCUCUGAGCAGAAGAAGUACCAUGAGAUGGCCAACAAGUGAGUCUGGGAAAUGGACAGGAGUUGGGUGUGGAUGGCUCAGCUGGACUAGAUCUGGUGGUGAUCUGCACCCAUGCAGUAGCUACAGGGGUUUCACGAGCUCACCUCUUGACACGAAUAAUUUUAAGACCAGGCAGUAGCUCCUGCACCCUAAAAUGCUAGGGGGGUCUAUGCGCCAUGUCUCCAGAGCUCUCUCCUCACUGGUUAUGCAUCAAGCCCUGACUGUUUCCAGACAUCCGAAUGAUCUAUGGUGACUCUUGACAACCAGGACCACUGCGGAUUGAAGGAAGUAGGCACAGAAGUGUGUGAGAAUGGUGGAGGCAUGCACGAAGGAAGCAUCCUCUCAGACAUUCUGAGAAUAGUGUCUUGCUUUUGCUCCAUGCAGUCCCCCUAUUUCAAAUAAGCUCAAGGAUGAGUGAGAAAAACCAGCUUUUAGAGAGAAGCAGCCAUACCAGUGAGCUUGGCUUCUGCCUUCUCCUGGGCCCUGGUCUCCUUGGUCAUUGCUGUGCUGUCAGUGUCAGCUUUGUCGUCCUUGGAUCUGUCCAUGACCCCUGGGAUACGCUGCCAUCAAUCCUAUGCCUGACCAGCUUGGCAGUCAGUUCUACUGUUCAGGGCAGGGUCUAGAGAGGUCUAGACAAGAUGUGUUCUGAUUAUUUUUCCUGGGCCACCUGGGCCUAACUUGACUCCCAGAGAGGGAGUGUAGGGUGUCCUCAGAACUGUGAUUCUGUGCCAGGAUCACCAACCAGUCCAACUCAGGGUCUGACCUCAUUCCUUACUUGAGUACAGCACUGGUUUUGGGACUUGAGUCUGGCAUCCAUGUCACCUUGCGAUUGUGCCUUUCACUCUCUUAGGAUCAUGGAAUUUGAACAUGAGGAAAAGAUAGACAUGGAAAAGUUAGAAAACAUAAGUGGCUCCCAGUGCCAGCCUUCUGCAGUACCACUGAGGCAGGAUUUUCCAGACCUCCAGCCCCUGAGGUCAUCCAGAAACCAGGAGAGAACAAUGGACAGAUGGAAAGGGACAAAUCUGAGGAACAGCAGGAAGAGGAAGUGUUGUACCCAGACCUAGGACUCCUCAGCUACCUGUAUGAGCUGUGAUCCCAGCAGGACUUCCUCCACAAAGUGAGCUGUGUCUACAGUCCCAGUGUUGUCCACAGGCUUAGAAUGCCUUCUCAGCCACUUUGAAUUCAGCUUCUUGCUUCAAUGCUGAGCUGUGUGGCUGUCUGUAUGAUAACCUUGCAGCUCUAAGGGCUGAGCUCUGUCCCUAUCUUGGUAUUGCUCUAUCUCUCUGUCAGUAUCUCCCUCCUUCUUUUCUUUCUUUCUUGCUUGUUCGCUUGCUCAUUCUUGCUUUUUCUUUCUCCCUCCCUCGCUUCCUUCCUUCCUUCUCUCUCCUUAC